rnacentral:rRNA from 1 species
UACGAAGGGGGCUAGCGUUGUUCGGAAUUACUGGGCGUAAAGCGCACGUAGGCGGAUAUUUAAGUCAGGGGUGAAAUCCCAGAGCUCAACUCUGGAACUGCCUUUGAUACUGGGUAUCUUGAGUAUGGAAGAGGUAAGUGGAAUUGCGAGUGUAGAGGUGAAAUUCGUAGAUAUUCGCAGGAACACCAGUGGCGAAGGCGGCUUCCUGGACCGACACUGACGCUGAGGCGCGAAAGCUAGGGGAGCAAACGGG